rnacentral:lncRNA from 1 species
UUUUUGUUAGCUGCUUCAACAACACCAUUCAUCUUUAGACGAUAGAUGAUAGAGUUAAGAUGUUUGAUGUGGAAUUUACUGCAUAAUUCCUCCAUCAUUUUGUUGUUGAGGUUCUUAGCAUUGUCUGACACAAUCACCUCUGGUUGUCCAUAUCGACAAAUGACAUUGUUUCUGAUGAAAGCGAUGAUGACUUCUUUGGUAACUCUG